CCUACGGGGGGCAGCAGUGGGGAAUAUUGGACAAUGGGGGGAACCCUGAUCCAGCCAUGCCGCGUGUGUGAAGAAGGCCCUCGGGUUGUAAAGCACUUUCAGUGAGGAAGAACGCCUGGUGGUGAAUACCCAUCAGGAAAGACAUCACUCACAGAAGAAGCACCGGCUAACUCCGUGCCAGCAGCCGCGGUAAUACGGAGGGUGCGAGCGUUAAUCGGAAUUACUGGGCGUAAAGCGCGCGUAGGUGGCUUGAUAAGCCGGUUGUGAAAGCCCCGGGCUCAACCUGGGAACGGCAUCCGGAACUGUCAAGCUAGAGUGCAGGAGAGGAAGGUAGAAUUCCCGGUGUAGCGGUGAAAUGCGUAGAGAUCGGGAGGAAUACCAGUGGCGAAGGCGGCCUUCUGGACUGACACUGACACUGAGGUGCGAAAGCGUGGGUAGCAAACAGGAUUAGAUACCCCGGUAGUC
rnacentral:rRNA from 1 species